rnacentral:rRNA from 1 species
GUGUACGUACAAGCAGUGGGAGCACCUUCGGGUGUGACUGCGUACCUUUUGUUUUAUGGGUCAGCGACUUAUAUUCUGUAGCAAGGUUAACCGUAUAGGGGAGCCGCAGGGAAACCGAGUCUUAACUGGGCGUUAAGUUGCAGGGUAUAGACCCGAAACCCGGUGAUCUAGCCAUGGGCAGGUUGAAGGUUGGGUAACACUAACUGGAGGACCGAACCGACUAAUGUAGAAAAAUUAGCGGAUGACUUGUGGCUGGGGGUGAAAGGCCAAUCAAACCGGGAGAUAGCUGGUU